CCGAAGCUAAUACCGGAUAUUCUCCUUUGGUCGCAUGGCCAGUUGAGGAAAGUUUUUCGGUCUGGGAGGGUCUCGCGGCCUAUCAGCUGGUUGGUGGGGUAACGGCCCACCAAGGCUACGACGGGUAGCUGGUUUGAGAGAACGAUCAGCCACACUGGAACUGAGACACGGUCCAGACUCCUACGGGAGGCAGCAGUGGGGAAUCUUGCGCAAUGGGCGAAAGCCUGACGCAGCAACGCCGCGUGCGGGAUGAAGGCCUUCGGGUUGUAAACCGCUUUCAGCAGGGACGAAAAUGACGGUACCUGCAGAAGAAGCCCCGGCUAACUACGUGCCAGCAGCCGCGGUAAUACGUAGGGGGGCAAGCGUUGUCCGGAUUUAUUGGGCGUAAAGAGCUCGUAGGCGGUUCC
rnacentral:rRNA from 1 species